UUGCCUCAUGAUGGCCGCCCCACCAGUCGGCAUCUCAAAGACUUGUUCUUUGGGUGAAUCCCAUGUGAUGACGUAGAAUUCUUCGACUUGAGCCUUUCUAAGCAGUCCUCCAGUGCUUCCUCCGAAGAUGGGUGAUGGGGUGUUGGGGUCCAAUUCCGGAGGGGUGAAACCGACCGGAGCUUCCUUUGUGGCAGCAGCAGAUGAUGCUUCCUCAUCAGCAGCUGCAGCUCUAAUGGUUCUUUGAGCCAUGGAGAAGUUGAGGGACUUGGAAGAGGUAGCAAAGGAAAAUGAUGAGGCUGGUUUCCAUGGGGCCAAAGAUUUUGGGGUGGUGAUUGUGGGGGUGAAGAGACCUGCUUGAGUUGCCAUGGCCAUGUAGAUGAUGGGUGUUAGAGCUGCAG
rnacentral:lncRNA from 1 species